UACGUAGGCAGCGAGCGUUGUUCGGAGUUACUGGGCGUAAAGAGUGCGUAGGCGGUUUUCUAAGUUUGGUGUGAAAUCUCCCGGCUCAACUGGGAGGGUGCGCCGAAGACUGGAAGGCUUGAGUAUGGGAGAGGUAAGCGGAAUUCCUGGUGUAGUGGUGAAAUGCGUAGAUAUCAGGAGGAACACCUGCGGUGUAGACGGCUUACUGGACCAUAACUGACGCUGAGGCACGAAAGCGUGGGUAGCAAACAGG
rnacentral:rRNA from 1 species